CGCCACACGCCCCGCCCAGUACGGUUUCUCCCGUCCCGUUAGGCGGGAGGGGCGCGUCCGGAGCGCGGUCUGACCUUGGGUGUCCUUGCGGGCGUGUCUUUCCGGGCAGGUGGUGCGCGCAGGUGCUGGCUAGCGGCAGCGUUACGUAGCCUUUAGGAGCUCAAGCUGUGGGCAGACUUUUGUGGUUUGUGUAAACUUGGGCAUCUUGUCCUUUUCCUCUCCAUGCCUCAGUUUCUUCAUUUACGACAUGGAAGUGAAGAUGGCAGCUACCUCAUGACUGGUGCAGAGUGUUCCGAACUAGGCAGUGAGCAUACUAAAAAGGAGUGAUGGGUUUUCUAGGGUGAGAAAGGGGCAUCCUGGUUAGGGGGAGAUGGGCAGGUGCUAACAGAAAUAAUAACAACAGUAACAUUCAGCCCUGAUGUGCUAGCACUGUGCUAAGUGCUUUACUUUCUUCAGCUCAUUUUAUUGUCCUAACAAAGUACCAGCCUCUUGCUUAUGAGUCGUCCACUCUCCGGGUACUCCUGGGAUGGCAGGAGCAGCCAUGGACCCAUCUUGACAUGGCAGUUCCUGCUGCAGCUGUGAAGGGGGUGGCCUGGCUCGGGGGACUGCACAAGAACGAGACCCACGUGAAUUACAAGCUCCCCCCAGGUAAAUCCUAAAGCACCCCUGGACAAGGCCUGAGACCACCAACCUGCUGUGUAACAGCGAGAAGGAACCUGGUGUCUCCAUGUCCUGCGCACCUCAGGGAUUCUGCUGGGCAGAGGGGCCGGAUUUUCACUGGUCUCCUCAGCUGGGUCUGUGCCCACUCUGGCUGCUUUCCAGAAAUCUGUUGCACUCGCAUGACAUCUCUCCCAUUCCCUUUGUCCCCUUGUGCUGGGACAAUUUGCAUGACACCGAAGUCCCUCACAGCAGCAGACCUCCAGAGACAGUGGCAUGGGGCUACCACCCGGAGAGGGAAGAAGGCAGUGGAACUCCCCGUGGAGAGGGAACCUGGAGAAGGGGUAAGGCGUCUAGGUGAUGUUGUUCAGCAGCAAGAUGGGGAGUCUGUGUCAGGGAGCUCUGAGGGCAGCGGCUGCUUUUCUGACCCCAGGAUUUAUCUUAUCUGUGGUACCAGAUGUUGGAUAUAGUUUUGCAGAAUGUGCAAAGCAGGCAGGCUCUAAAUGGCUAGAAAUGCUAUUUGAGCUAUAUUUAAAGCAAUUGGAUGUGUGAAAAUUUAAGUUUGGCACCAGCAAGCUUUGAGCUAAUAGUCCUGGCUUGCUGUGAAGAAAUAAAUAACAGAGGGCCAAUGUAUAGGGGCCAUCUUUGGCUCAUUUAUAUAACAAUCUUUAAUUUUUAUAUUGUGAGAUAAUGAUCAAGAUCAUCUUUUUCCAAAUGAAUAUUCAGUUGCUUCAGCACCAUUUGUUCCAAAAGGCUAUCAUUUUCCCCACCGACUUUCAUUCUGGCCUUUGUCGUAGUUUGACUGAAUACACCUGUAGAUCUAGUUCCAGAUUAUUUAUUCUGCUCUAUUUAUUUACUUGUCUAUCCUUAGCGACGGUACUUCACUGUCUUAAUUAUUGUAGCUUUAUAGUAAGUCUUGAAAUCAGGUUGUAUGCGUCCUCCAAUUUUGUUCUUCACAAUUAUCUUGGACAUUCUAGGUCCUUUGCAUUUCUAUAUAUAUUUUAGAAUCUGUCAAUUUCUCCAGAAAGCGUGCUGGGAGUACAUUGAAUCUAAAUAUUAUUUGAGAGAAAAUUGAUAUCUUUACAAUAUUUAAUAUUCCAGUAAAUGCUGUAUACUAUUGAUUUAGGUCUUUACAUUCUUUCAAUAAUGUUUUAUAAUUUUUUCUACAGAGGUCUCAUACAUAUUUUAUUAAAUUUAU